rnacentral:rRNA from 1 species
UACGUAGGGUGCGAGCGUUGUCCGGAAUUACUGGGCGUAAAGAGCUCGUAGGCGGUUUGUCGCGUUGUCCGUGAAAACUCACAACUCAAUUGUGGGCGUGCGGGCGAUACGGGCAGACUGGAGUACUGCAGGGGAGACUGGAAUUCCUGGUGUAGCGGUGGAAUGCGCAGAUAUCAGGAGGAACACCGGUGGCGAAGGCGGGUCUCUGGGCAGUAACUGACGCUGAGGAGCGAAAGCGUGAGGAGCGAACAGG